rnacentral:rRNA from 1 species
UUAUGAGAGUUUGAUCCUGGCUCAGGACGAACGCUGGCGGCGUGCCUAAUACAUGCAAGUCGAACGCUUCUUUUUCCACCGGAGCUUGCUCCACCGGAAAAAGAGGAGUGGCGAACGGGUGAGUAACACGUGGGUAACCUGCCCAUCAGAAGGGGAUAACACUUGGAAACAGGUGCUAAUACCGUAUAACAAUCGAAACCGCAUGGUUUUGAUUUGAAAGGCGCUUUCGGGUGUCACUGAUGGAUGGACCCGCGGUGCAUUAGCUAGUUGGUGAGGUAACGGCUCACCAAGGCCACGAUGCAUAGCCGACCUGAGAGGGUGAUCGGCCACAUUGGGACUGAGACACGGCCCAAACUCCUACGGGAGGCAGCAGUAGGGAAUCUUCGGCAAUGGACGAAAGUCUGACCGAGCAACGCCGCGUGAGUGAAGAAGGUUUUCGGAUCGUAAAACUCUGUUGUUAGAGAAGAACAAGGAUGAGAGUAACUGUUCAUCCCUUGACGGUAUCUAACCAGAAAGCCACGGCUAACUACGUGCCAGCAGCCGCGGUAAUACGUAGGUGGCAAGCGUUGUCCGGAUUUAUUGGGCGUAAAGCGAGCGCAGGCGGUUUCUUAAGUCUGAUGUGAAAGCCCCCGGCUCAACCGGGGAGGGUCAUUGGAAACUGGGAGACUUGAGUGCAGAAGAGGAGAGUGGAAUUCCAUGUGUAGCGGUGAAAUGCGUAGAUAUAUGGAGGAACACCAGUGGCGAAGGCGGCUCUCUGGUCUGUAACUGACGCUGAGGCUCGAAAGCGUGGGGAGCAAACAGGAUUAGAUACCCUGGUAGUCCACGCCGUAAACGAUGAGUGCUAAGUGUUGGAGGGUUUCCGCCCUUCAGUGCUGCAGCUAACGCAUUAAGCACUCCGCCUGGGGAGUACGACCGCAAGGUUGAAACUCAAAGGAAUUGACGGGGGCCCGCACAAGCGGUGGAGCAUGUGGUUUAAUUCGAAGCAACGCGAAGAACCUUACCAGGUCUUGACAUCCUUUGACCAUGUACACACCGCCCGUCACACCACGAGAGUUUGUAACACUGGUGCAUGGUUGUCGUCAGCUCGUGUCGUGAGAUGUUGGGUUAAGUCCCGCAACGAGCGCAACCCUUAUUGUUAGUUGCCAUCAUUCAGUUGGGCACUCUAGCAAGACUGCCGGUGACAAACCGGAGGAAGGUGGGGAUGACGUCAAAUCAUCAUGCCCCUUAUGACCUGGGCUACACACGUGCUACAAUGGGAAGUACAACGAGUCGCGAAGUCGCGAGGCUAAGCUAAUCUCUUAAAGCUUCUCUCAGUUCGGAUUGCAGGCUGCAACUCGCCUGCAUGAAGCCGGAAUCGCUAGUAAUCGCGGAUCAGCACGCCGCGGUGAAUACGUUCCCGGGCCUUGUACACGCCGCCCGUCACACCACGAGAGUUUGUAACACCCGAAGUCGGUGAGGUAACCUUUUUGGAGCCAGCCGCCUAAGGUGGGAUAGAUGAUUGGGGUGAAGUCGUAACAAGGUAGCCGUAUCGGAAGGUGCGGCUGGAUCACCUCCUUU